AUGAUUUCGGUGGGGGGUAUGUACGGUACUUGCUGAUUUUAUUAGGAAUCAUGAGGGUAGUUGUACGUGCUCCACUAUCCGAUGACACAAGUCGCGCUUGGGUUGACAAGCGGACAGAGACAAUUGAUCGUUGCUCGGGCGUGGUCGAUAGCACUACAUAUGUAAACCGUGUUUACCCUGAGUAACCAGUGAUCAUCAAGUCUAGUGUUGACGUUCAGUACUAGUGUCUACAUAUAAAACUUUGCAAGCUUGCGAUCGCCAGUGACGUUCACUUGGAACACCAGAGUUAGGACCGUUGGAGCUGCUGCGCCGCCGCCACCUGAGUGACGUGGGAGUGUUCAAAGAUCUAAUGGCUCCACAGCGCACAAAGAUCAAGCAUCCUCAAGGAGAAAUAUCGCGCUUGUGAAAAAAAGGACAAUCUUUCAAAGCAAGGUUAAAAGGUGGUGCAGAUCGAUCAAUCGAAUUUUGUCAGGAAAAUUAACAUAUGUGGGUGAAGACGAAACAAAAACAGCUGCCCAACAAUAUUAUGAUAAACAUAAACAUUAUAAAAAUAAAAAAUAAUAUGCAAA